AUACGAAGGGGGCUAGCGUUGUUCGGAAUCACUGGGCGUAAAGCGCGCGUAGGUGGAUCAAUUAGUUGAGGGUGAAAUCCCGGGGCUCAACCUCGGAACUGCCUUCAAUACUGUUGAUCGUGAGACCGAGAGAGGUGAGUGGAAUUCCUAGUGUAGAGGUGAAAUUCGUAGAUAUUAGGAAGAACACCAGUGGCGAAGGCGGCUCACUGGCUCGGUACUGACGCUGAGGUGCGAAAGCGUGGGGAGCAAACAGGAUUAGAAACCCUAGUAGUCC
rnacentral:rRNA from 1 species